rnacentral:rRNA from 1 species
GACGAACGCUGGCGGCGUGCUUAACACAUGCAAGUCGAACGGUGAUCUUGAGAGCUUGCUCUUGGGUGAUCAGUGGCGAACGGGUGAGUAACACGUGAGGAACCUGCCCCAGACUCUGGAAUAACCCCGGGAAACCGGAGCUAAUACCGGAUACGACACGCCCUCGCAUGGGGAGCGUGUGGAAAGUUUUUCGGUCUGGGAUGGCCUCGCGGCCUAUCAGCUUGUUGGUGAGGUAGUGGCUCACCAAGGCGACGACGGGUAGCCGGCCUGAGAGGGCGACCGGCCACACUGGGACUGAGACACGGCCCAGACUCCUACGGGAGGCAGCAGUGGGGAAUAUUGCACAAUGGGCGAAAGCCUGAUGCAGCGACGCCGCGUGAGGGAUGACGGCCUUCGGGUUGUAAACCUCUUUCAGUAGGGAAGAAGCGCAAGUGACGGUACCUACAGAAGAAGCACCGGCUAACUACGUGCCAGCCGCCGCCGUAACAC